UAUCUGCAAAUGCCUCAGACUCUUGCACCUGAAAUAUUGUCAAGACUUUUUGUAUUCCAACUUAAGGUUCACUGUCCCUCUGAAAAGGAUGAUAACUCUUCAUAUGGAUCCAUGGCAGUAAUUCCUUCCUAUGCAUGUGACAAAAGAGAGUUGGGCAAACACGGACCCCUGGACACACUAGAGGUGGGAUCGGGUGCCUAGGAGGAAUCUAUAUGGAGGUGCGGCCCCAUGUUUGACUACAUACCAUCAAUACUACUGUGUAAAUGAAUCCGACCCCUGCAAUGGCUGCCAGUAUGCCGACAAAUAUAAAGACAAGCUUGUCGAGCUUUACCUGUCCGCAGAACCACAGCCUUAACAUGCUGGGAGCCAUAAAACCUGGUCUGUAAGAUGUGUGUGCCACAAAACAGAACGUGUUUCGCGUGAUCCUUCAGGUUGAACAAGAUAU